rnacentral:rRNA from 1 species
GAGACUCUGUGCGCGUGCAUAUCAAUAAGCGGAGGAAAAGAAACUAACAAGGAUUCCCUUAGUAACGGCGAGUGAAGCGGGAAGAGCUCAAAUUUGAAAUCUUCAAGGUUCUACCUUGACGAAUUGUAGUUUAUAGAAGUGUUUUCUGUUAGUAGAGUGGCAAAAGUUCUUUGGAAUAGGACAUCAUAGAGGGUGAGAAUCCCGUAUUUGGUCAUUCUUUCUAGCUUUGUGAUACACUUUCAACGAGUCGGAUUGUUUGGGAAUGCAGUCCAAAAUGGGUGGUAAAUUUCAUCUAAAGCUAAAUAUUGGCGAGAGACCGAUAGCGAACAAGUACCGUGAGGGAAAGAUGAAAAGAACUUUGAAAAGAGGGUUAAACAGUACGUGAAAUUGUCAAAAGGGAAGCGUUUGACACCAGUGUUGUUUUCUCGAAAAUCAAUUCAAAUGAUUUUGGAUUCUAGUAGUAUUGACUUCAUCAGCUUUCUGCACUUUCUUCUCAUAUUAUUUAAUGCACUUUUCAGUUAACAAGUCAACAUCAAUUUCUUUUGUUGUAAAAGGGUAUGAGGAAGGUGGCUUGCUCUUCGGCGCAAGUGUUUAUAGCCUUGUAGCUCUGCAAUCGGAGAGAUUGAGGUCUGCAGCGUAGAUCCUUCGGGGUUAGAUACAUUGGUGCUAAGCUAUAGCCUUGUAUAGACAACUUGUUGACUAUGCUCAGUCAUGUAGCUUACUCGCUGAUGCUAUUUUACCUACGCUUAGGAUGUUGACAGCAGUAUAGACUGU